rnacentral:rRNA from 1 species
UACAGAGGUCCCAAGCGUUGUUCGGAUUCACUGGGCGUAAAGGGUGCGUAGGCGGUCGGGUAAGUCUGACGUGAAAUCUUCAAGCUCAACUUGGAAACUGCGUCCGAUACUAUUCGGCUAGAGGAAUGGAGGGGAGACUGGAAUACUUGGUGUAGCAGUGAAAUGCGUAGAUAUCAAGUGGAACACCAGUGGCGAAGGCGAGCCUCUGGACAUUUCCUGACGCUGAGGCACGAAAGCCAGGGGAGCAAACGGG